rnacentral:rRNA from 1 species
CGAACGCUGGCGGCGUGCUUAACACAUGCAAGUCGAGCGGUAAGGCCCUUUCGGGGGUACACGAGCGGCGAACGGGUGAGUAACACGUGGGUGACCUGCCCUCAGCUCUGGGAUAAGCCUGGGAAACUGGGUCUAAUACUGGAUAUGACUCCACGGUGCAUGUCGUGGGGUGGAAAGCCUUGUGCGGCUGAGGAUGGGCCCGCGGCCUAUCAGCUUGUUGGUGGGGUGAGGCCUACCAAGGCGACGACGGGUAGCCGGCCUGAGAGGGCGACCGGCCACACUGGGACUGAGACACGGCCCAGACUCCUACGGGAGGCAGCAGUGGGGAAUCUUGCGCAAUGGGCGAAAGCCUGACGCAGCGACGCCGCGUGAGGGAUGACGGCCUCGG